rnacentral:hammerhead_ribozyme from 1 species
ACCUAUCUGACGAGUCUCAAAUAGGAUGAAAUGCGCAUUUUGGAU